UGCACAGUUUUUGGGCGAAACCUCUCUGC
rnacentral:sRNA from 1 species